UCAGAGAAGAAGAUCUGACGGUAUCUGAGGAAUAAGCAUCGGCUAACUCCGUGCCAGCAGCCGCGGUAAUACGGAGGAUGCAAGCGUUAUCCGGAAUGAUUGGGCGUAAAGCGUCUGUAGGUGGUUUCAUAAGUCCACUGUCAAAGAUCAGGGCUUAACCCUGAGCAGGCAGUGGAAACUAUGAGGCUUGAGUACGGUAGGGGCAGAGGGAAUUCCCGGUGUAGCGGUGAAAUGCGUAGAGAUCGG
rnacentral:rRNA from 1 species